UCUUGAUUGGUCUAGUGAUUGGGAUACCUACUUAUCAUUAGUUUCAUGUCUAGCGUUGGACACUUGUAGCAUAUCAAGAACAGAAGUUCGCAUGUGGCCGGGGUUCGAUUCCCCGAUCGAGAG